rnacentral:rRNA from 1 species
UUGUGAGGCAUCUCCGGGUAGGGCGCCGGCCUAAGUUCCUUGGAACAGGACGUCACAGAGGGUGAGAAUCCCGUGCUUGGCUGGCUGUCCCCGUCCAUGUGAGGUGUCUUCGACGAGUCGAGUUGUUUGGGAAUGCAGCUCAAAAUGGGUGGUAAAUUUCAUCUAAAGCUAAAUAUUGGUGGGAGACCGAUAGCGCACAAGUAGAGUGAUCGAAAGAUGAAAAGCACUUUGAAAAUAGAGUUAAAAAGUACGUGAAAUUGUUGAAAGGGAAGCGCUUGAGACCAGACUUCGGUAAGGGGUGAUCAGCCGUCCUUUUGGGCGGUGCACUUGCCCCCCUCCGGGCCAGCAUCGGUUGAGGCGGCGGGAUAAAGGUCCCGGGAAUGUGGCUCCUUCACGGGAGUGUUAUAGCCCGGGUGAAUGCCGCCAGCUUCGACCGAGGACCGCACCCGCAAGGGUUAGGAUGCUUGGCAUAAUGGUCUUCAGCGAC